CUCAUACUGCUGACUUUGCUCUCUUUGGCAACAAUCUUCUGACUCCAGCUCUCAAUCUGUGGACAGGAUGAAGUAUGUUAUGGUCUUUCUCGUGUUGUCCCUGGUCGUCCUCAUGGCCGAUCCUGGAGACUGUUUUUUCAGAUCUAUAUGGAGAGGUGCCAAGGCCGCAUUUAGAGGGGCCAAGGCGGGAUGGAAAGGAUACCAUGACGAGCGCAGGAUGAAUCAGAUGGUGAAGCCCAGCAAAGCGCCAGACCAAGGCAACAACAAUUAACCAGAUGUCGGUCACUCCUUCAGGGCUGAAUCUGUUCAUUCUGAACACGCUGUUUGGUGUGACUGCUUUGGGCUUUACAUUGCAAGAAAGAAGUAGAUCAGCUAACAAACCAGCAGUUUUGGGUUUGCAUGAAGCAUUUGAGAAGAAGUAAUUCAUAUAUAGCUCUUAGCAUAGCUCCUAUUGGUUUUUAAAAAUGUAAAAUGGCUAAAUAUUGCAAACUGCCCCGCUUAAUAA